GAUGAAGAACGUAGUGAAAUGCGAUACUUGGUGUGAAUUGCAGAAUCCCGUGAACCAUCGAGUCUUUGAACGCAAGUUGCGCCCGAAGCCACUAGGCCGAGGGCACGCCUGCCUGGGCGUCACACGCCGUUGCCCCCCCAUCUACUCCUUCGGGAUUGCGGGGGGGCGGAUGAUGGCCUCCCGUGCGCCUAGCCGCGCGGUUGGCAUAAAUACCAAGUCCUCGGCGACGCACGCCACGACAAUCGGUGGUUGCGAAACCUCGGUUGCCCGUCGUGUGCGUUCGUCGCGCAUCGAGGGCUCGAAAAAAUGCUCGGCUCCGGCUGGGCUUUCAACGCGACCCCAGGUCAGGCGGGGUUACCCGCUGAAUUUAAGCAUAUCAAUAAGCGGAGGA
rnacentral:misc_RNA from 1 species